rnacentral:rRNA from 1 species
AUUGAACGCUAGCGGGAUGCUUUACACAUGCAAGUCGAACGGAGUGGCGAACGGGGGAGUAAUGUAUCGGAACGUGCCCAGUAGCGGGGGAUAACUACGCGAAAGAGAAGCUAAUACCGCAUACUAUUGGAGCGGCCGAUCUGGGAUUAGCUAGUUGGUGAGGUAAAGGCUCACCAAGGCGACGAUCCGUAGCUGGUUUGAGAGGACGACCAGCCACACUGGGACUGAGACACGGCCCAGACUCCUACGGGAGGCAGCAGUGGGGAAUUUUGGACAAUGGGGGCAACCCUGAUCCAGCCAUCCCGCGUGUGUGAUGAAGGCCUUCGGGUUGUAAAGCACUUUUGGCAGGAAAGCGGUACCUGCAGAAUAAGCACCGGCUAACUACGUGCCAGCAGCCGCGGUAAUUC